UCCAUCCAAGCUUCUUUGAUCUUCCAUGAUAUCUCUUUCUUGAUCUCUAAUCCUUUUAAUUGAGCUCGUGUGCCUGGCCAUCGGAGAAGACGUGGCGCAUCCACCAUCUUCAAUCACCACCGGCCACUGUCAUUGGAGGAGAGCCACUGUUGCUGGAUGAUCACCGUUGGAGAGCACCGGAGCUAUCUCCACGCUUUGUCAGUGAUAUGACGGUGAACCGAGAUGAAGUGACACAAACCCGCAUUAGAACCACGACGUUCGCCACCACCAACCACCAUGGACACCGAUCUACACCACCUCCUGCCGCGAACCAACGGGGUGACUCAUCUCAUUUCACCGUAAAGCCGCACUCUGGUAGGCGAAGCCAUCGUCAUCAACCGUAAGCCUCAUGCGUACGAUUAAGUUGUCCCCUUUUUCCUCGUUACUUGAUUAACAAGUAUAAUUGUCAUAAACCCUAUUUAUAUUUUAUUUUAGUUAUUCCUCUUGCGUUGUGUUUGUUUCUUUCCGAUCUGGUGUGAUGCGGGCGAGACGUCAAGAGCUAAGGCAAAACCCUAGUUUUCUUCUUGUUCUUAUCUUCUUUCGAUUUCUGGCUCUCCGAUAUGGCAAAGGUGAGCUUGCCCCGAGUGUUGGAUAUUUGGAAGGUUUGGUGUCUUGGAAAAAUCGUAUUUUAUUUUGGUAUUAAUUAACUUUCCGAUUUAAUGUAUUUUGUUUUUAAAUUAUAAACUCGUUCUAUUUGGAAUUCAUUUGAUUAAAAGGUUUGACAUUUUAUUUUAUU